rnacentral:rRNA from 1 species
AAGUAUAACUAUUUGGUUUCAAUAGCGCAAAUACUUUAGAGGUGAAGAUAACACAUGCUAGUUGAGCGCGUAUCGUGCAGCGAACGGGUGAGUACAAUUCAGGAAUGCUACCCCUAAGACCUAAGAAAUUUGGGAUAAAAAGAGAAAGACUCGCUUAGGGAUGUGCCUGAAGAAUAUUAGGUAGUUGGUAUGGGUAAUAGCCUACCAAGCCCAAGAUGUUUAACCAUUCUGAGAGGAAGAGUGGUCACAUAGGAACUGAGACAAGGUCCUACUGGAAUUUAUCUGGCAGCAGUGGCUAAAUUUAGGCAAUGAUCGAAAGAUUGACCUAGUUACACCUCGUGGGUGAAGAAGAAGUUGGGAAGCAAAGGAGACUUCUGAAGGUUGAUUGACCGUAAAACCCUUUUCAUUUAUCUAGAAACAGACACGGGUAAAUGGAAUAAGUUCUGAGUAAUAUCUGUGCCAGCACUCGCGGUUAUACAGGAAGAGCGAAAGUAUUGCAACAUGAUUGGUGCGUAAAGGGGUAGUAGGCUGUUCGUUAAGUGUCAGUGGAUCCUUUAGCGCAACUUAAGGUGAAUCUGAAAAACUAACGAACUUGAGUAUAAGAAAGGAGAAUGGAAUUCCCUAUCGAGCGGUGACAUGUUAUGAAAUAGGGAGGAAGGCCAAGAGUGAAGACAAUUCUCUUGCUUAAGACUGACGCUGAGUACCGAAACCUAGGGGAGAGAAUCGGAUUAGAUACCCGAGUAUUCCUAGGCGUCAACGAUGAUCACUAAAGGAUACGACAGUGUCCUUGUAGCUAACGCGUUAAGUGAUCCGCCUGAAGAGUACGGUCGCAAGAUUAAAACUCAAGAAAUCCAAGUGUGUAGUAUAUAAACAGUGGGAGAUGCCAUUUAAUGCGUAACAACGCGCAGAACCUUACUUUGUCUUGUAUUUCUCUAGUAUAUUUAAUUUUAUCGUUAAAUAGCACUUUAAAUUAUUUUAGUGAUGGAGAAACACGUGUUGCAUGGUUGUUGUGAGUUCGUGGCUUGAGCCGUUAGGUUAAUUCCUUUAACGAACGUAACUCUCAUGCAGAUUUGCUAAUCUUUUAAGAUGCACAAUCUGUAACUGCCUGCGAUAUGCGGGAGGAAGGUGAGAUCCACUUCAAAUCCUCAUGGCCGUUAUGGCAAAGGCUAUAGGCGUCUCACAAUGGGAACUACAAAAAGAAACAAAAGCGUGAGCUGGAGUGAAUCUUUAAAACUUCCCACAGUUCGAAUCGUUUUCUGCAACUCGAAAACGUGAAGUUGGAAUUGUUAGUAAUCGUAGAACAGCAUGCUACGGUGAAUCUUUGAUCUGCUACGACUAUGAAUUGCUCAUCAUAGACUCAAAAUUUAUUAGGAACUAACUUGCAUGGUCCUACCAAAGUUUACUUUUUAAGAGUAUUUGUAAUACUUUUUUAAAAUUUAAAAUUAGGAGAUUAACUAUGCUGGGAAUUUCUUGUAGGUAAUGAGUCUAAAGUUGAAACACAGUAGGCCUUAUGGAAAUAGGGCCUGAACUAUAGAAAAU